rnacentral:lncRNA from 1 species
GGGCCGGCAGGUNUAGGUCGCAUGCAUCCGGAAGGCCAGCCCCAGCGGGUAUGCUGUCGCGCAGCGAAGCACCCAGGCUGAUUUGCCUUGGGCCGGCAGGUUUAGGUCGCAUGCAUCCGGAAGGCCAGCCCCAGGGGGUAUGCUCUCGCGCGGCGAAGCACCCAGGCUGAUUUGCCUUGGGCCGGCAGGUUUAGUCGCAUGCAUCCGGAAGGCCAGCCCCAGGGGGUAUGCUGUCGCGCAACGAAGCACCCAGGCUGAUUUGCCUUGGGCCGGCAGGUUUAGGUCGCAUGCAUCCGGAAGGCCAGCCCCAGGGGGUAUGCUGUCGCGCGGCGAAGCACCCAGGCUGAUUUGCCUUGGGCCGGCAGGUUUAGGUCGCAUGCAUCCGGAAGGCCAGCCCCAGCGGGUAUGCUGUCGCGCAGCGAAGCACCCAGGCUGAUUUGCCUUGGGCCGGCAGGUUUAGUCGCAUGCAUCCGGAAGGCCAGCCCCAGCGGGUAUGCUGUCGCGCAGCGAAGCACCCAGGCUGAUUUGCCUUGGGCCGGCAGGUUUAGGUCGCAUGCAUCCGGAAGGCCAGCCCCAGGGGGUAUGCUCUCGCGCGGCGAAGCACCCCGGCUGAGUUGCCUUGGGCCGGCAGGUUUGGUCGCAAGUAACCCGGCAGGCCCGUCACAGGGGGCACGCUCCCGCGCAGGGUUGGAUUACCUUGAACCCGCCUGCAUGGAUCCGCUUCUGAAGGCCAGCACUAAGGGUGGUU